AAAUUAGUAAGGCCGGUAUGUUUUUCCAAGAAAGGUGGCAACUCUAACUACUUUUCACAUACUCUUACUUAAGUAUGGAAACUUAAGUGGGAUGUAUGGGAACAAAACUUGUGUGGACUGGCUGACAAUGAAUAUAGUUAAAGGACACUAUAGUCACCAGAACAACUACAGCUUAUUGAAUUUGUUCUGGUGAGUAGAAUCAUAACCGUCAAGCUUUUUGCUGUAAACACUGUCUUUUCAGAGAAAAUGCAGUCUUUACAUUACAUCCUAGUGAUAACUUCACUGGCCACUCCUUAGAUGACUGUUAGAGAUCCUUCCUGGGUCAUGGCUGCCUAAAGGGCAUCCAAACAUUCAGUGUCUCCUCCCUCUGCAUGCACUGAACUUUCCUCAUAGAGAUUCAUUAAUGAAAUUCAUCUAUAUAAGGAGAUGCUGAUUGUCCAGGGCUGUGUUUGAAUCAUACUGGCUCUGACCCUGAUCUGCCUCUUUGUCAGUCUCAGCCAAUCCUAUGGGGAAGCACUGUGAUUGGAUCAGGCCACCACUUCUAAUGAUGUCAGCAGACUGCUUGUUUUUAUGAGUCUAACAGCAUGCCGAGUUACAGCUUCAGGCUUGAAUAUAGAUUUUGCUAUAUUUAUGGAGGCAUGAGGGGUCCAGGGGGGGCUAGAUGGUGGUGUUAAUACUAUAGGGUCAUGAAUUCAUGUUUGUGUUCCUGACCCUAUAGUGAUCCUUUAAGGUAAUGCUGACUUUGGUCUCUCUAACACUGUGGCAUGUUCCCUUUCUUCUACACUCACUACAUAUAGCUUUACUCUGUCCCAGACCAUAUACCAGGAUCUUCUGCCUGAUAGUAAGAAGGUAAGGAGACAAGUGGACCAGCGAGUGCUAGGGGACAGUCCUUAGAAAGCAUUGAGUGAA